AUUGAACGCUGGCGGCAGGCUUAACACAUGCAAGUCGAGCGCGGGGCGGAGGGGUGAGUAAUAUCUGGGACACUGCCUUAUGGAGGGGGAUCACUACGGGACACGGUAGCUUAUACCGCAUACCAUGAGAUCUGCCCAGAUGGGAUUAGAUAGGGGGUGGGGUAAUGGCUCACCUAGGCGACGAUCCCUAGCUGGUCUGAGAGGAUGACCAGCCACACUGGAACUGAGACACGGUCCAGACUCCUACGGGAGGCAGCAGUGGGGAAUAUUGCACAAUGGGCGCAAGCCUGAUACAGCCAUGCCGCGUGUGUGAAGAAGGCCUUCGGGUUGUAAAGCACUUUCAGCGGGGAGGCGUUACUGGCAGAAGAAGCACCGGCUAACUCCGUGCCAGCAGCCGCGGUAAUAC
rnacentral:rRNA from 1 species